ACUCCUGCGGGAGGCAGCAGUGGGGAAUUUUGGACACUGGGCGAAAGCCUGAUCCAGCAAUGCCGCGUGAGUGAAGAAGGCCUUCGGGUUGUAAAGCUCUUUUGUCAGGGAAGAAACGGUGAGAGCUAAUAUCUUUUGCUAAUGACGGUACCUGAAGAAUAAGCACCGGCUAACUACGUGCCAGCAGCCGCGGUAAUACGUAGGGUGCAAGCGUUAAUCGGAAUUACUGGGCGUAAGGCGUGCGCAGGCGGUUUUGUAAGUCUGAUGUGAAAUCCCCGGGCUCAACCUGGGAAUUGCAUUGGAGACUGCAAGGCUAGAAUCUGGCAGAGGGGGGUAGAAUUCCACGUGUAGCAGUGAAAUGCGUAGAUAUGUGGAGGAACACCGAUGGCGAAGGCAGCCCCCUGGGUCAAGAUUGACGCUCAUGCACGAAAGCGUGGGGAGCAAACAGGAUUAGAAACCCCAGUAGUCCCAU
rnacentral:rRNA from 1 species